UACGUAGGGGGCAAGCGUUGUCCGGAAUCAUUGGGCGUAAAGCGCGUGUAGGCGGCUUCGUCAGUCCGUUGUGAAAGUCCAGGGCUCAACCCUGGAAUGCCGAUGGAUACUGCGGAGCUAGAGUCCGGAAGAGGCGAGUGGAAUUCCUGGUGUAGCGGUGGAAUGCGCAGAUAUCAGGAGGAACACCAACGGCGAAGGCAGCUCGCUGGGACGGUACUGACGCUAAGGCGCGAAAGCGUGGGGAGCAAACAGG
rnacentral:rRNA from 1 species